rnacentral:rRNA from 6 species
UGAGCUCAGGCAAGGUUACCCGCUGAACUUAA